AAUACGAACCGUGAAAGC
rnacentral:snRNA from 1 species